GAAAGUGGUUAUAAGUGUCUGCUGGGACUGAUCAUUCUCACAGAAGGAAAACUUACUCUGGAACAACAGUGUGGGCUGUGAGAUGAGAACAGAGACACACUGAGCUUUAACCACUAACCAUCGACCAACUGCUGACUGAUGAGGAAACAUCAUUAGCUCCUGAGAGACAAAGACAAACUGAACCACAGUGAUCUGAACUGAAGACAGCGACUGUAACACAUUUCAGUUUCAUUCAGCAACAAGAACGGGGAAAAUCAGACCUUGCUGGAUGAACACAGUGAUCAUCCUACUGAUUAUAAUGUUUUAUGAAACUCGAAAUGAUUCCUCAGAUAUCAGAAUGAUUAUCUUCCUCAUCACUAGUGUUUAUGUGGGUCUGUCAGCUCUCAUUUGGGCUUUUCGUCUUCUGCACCUUCACAGAAAGAUCAGAGGCCGAAUCUCAGUCUUCAUCCUCCUCCUCCUCCUCAAUGACCUGAUACAAUUACCCCUUAAUCUAUAUAUACUGAGAGAUAUACUGAAAGAAUUCAGAUACUUUAUCCUUGAGCUUGGUCAGUUUUGGUUGGGAUUACAUUGGUGUGGUUUUCAUCUGCAUCAGCUGGUGGCUCUGGAGGGGAUCUUGACUCUGAAAUAUCCGUUUUGGUCUGCUCGUAUUUUCUCAAUGCCCUGUUACAUCAUAAUCUCCAUCCUUGUGCUUUUUUUUCUACAGUGAGUGCAUUAUUUCUUUUCCCGCAUCCAGCAUUUCAAAAUACAAACAUGUCAUUAUUCAGUCUCAGCACAAGUGUUGUUCCUCUGAUCGUAUUGUCUGUAUCAUCUACAAUCAGCUGUAAAGCCUCUUCCACUCCUGUCAGAAAAAACAGUUCAGUGCUCACUGUUGCUAUUCUUACAUUUGUUAUGAUGUACUUACCUUUCAUGUUCUUCAUCUGUGUGAUUUUAUUUCAUUUACAUUCAUAUGCCAGCUCAUCUUGGUUGGUAAUGUCUUUCUGUUUGAUGAGUUUGAGAGGGAUUUCAGACCCUAUUCUGUGUAUUUUGGUCUGCAGAGAAAAUCUCAGAGAUGUUCAGACGCCACAAACACACACAGAACCCAACGCUGAUGAGACGUCAGUCUGAACUUGAGUUUCAUUAGUCCUCACGUCUGAAUCUGGCUUCAAAACA